ACUCUUUUUUGUGGAAGUUGCUGGUGGUUGGUGCCGCCGCCGCGGCGUUUUUUCCCCGCUUGGAAGGCUCCUUGCUGUCUGCGCGGCCCGCCACGGACGGGCCUGCUGGACCCGCGUCUUGCUCUCCAGCUUUCGCCGUCCCGCGCGGCUCCGGGGAGGGGAGAGGCAGGCUGGCUGGCUUUCGAGCCCAAAGUUCGGGGGAAGGGCCCCGUCGAGACCCCCAGGCCAUUAAAUUCCUCCGGGAAACGCGACAGGGAGUACAUUGAGACACGGGAAACCGCUGCAGCGUUUUUUGUGUCGGCGAGGGGCGGCCGCUUCAGCGUUUUAGGGUCCCCGGUUCCUUGAGGCGCUUAGGAAAGUGUGCAUCUUUCAAGGCAAGGUCAUCAGAUGUGUUUCUGCCAAGAAUGUUUCUUCUCGUUUGCAUUUUAUUAUGGCAUAUUCAAAAAUCCACAGAUCAAUUUCUUUAUAUGUUCCCAAUAUCAACGUUCCACCAACUGGUUUAAAAAAAAAGGGGGGGGGGAAAGGGGACUUUUGCAGGCCUCCAAUUGUAUAGAGUUUCGUCCUUCCUAGGAUUUUUCAAAGCCUCUUUCUUAAUUAUGAAUAUAAAACACGAUAAGAAAGUACUUUGCAUCAUAGAAUUCGAUUGCUUUGGACUAGUUGCGGUUUGACAGAGUUGCAUGGUUUGGGAGUUGACAUGAAGUAAUUUGGGGAGCCUGAAGCCUGUUGUGCAACUCUGAAACUCUCCUUCGGGACCCAUACAAUGUUAUGGGGGGGGGGGGGUCACUAUUCCCUUUCCCAUUGGGAGGCUGAUGUUUGUGGCUGUAGUUGGAGGAAGUUGAUUUACUUGGGUUGGAUUUGAGGCUGUUAUGGCUUAUCCUGAGGUUCACCCACAGGACAUUCUGGAUCUCUUGUAAUCAGUUUUGAUGUUUGGGUCCGGGUUAGAAUUCUAAAGCCAGAAUUGCUUCCUAGUAGCAAUAUAGCCUGCCAUCCAUCCGAGAACUGUAUGCUAUUGAUUUUACUCACAUUAGGGGUUGAGACAACACAGCAGCCCAGAAACAUGUUUUUCCAUGCUCCUGCCCUUUUUAAUUUUGUAUUAUUUUUAAAUGGUAUAUUUUAGCUAUUUUUUUCUUUAGUUUUAGUUAAGUAAGUACAUAAGCUUACCAUAGAUUUUAAAUUAGGUUUUAAUGGACUUACUAAACUAUUUUAAAUAUAUUCACAAAUUUUUACGGCGAGACAGUUGUGGAGGCAAACAGUGCAAGCAAAAGUGUCUGGAUUUGAAUGACAUGGGAAAAAGAAAGAAACAUGGAAUCAGUCCAGGCUCUCUCUCCUCUUCAAAGUCUGCUAAACAACCAAAGAUAGAAGAACUUUUUACACACAAGGAAAUUAGUUCAUACCUGAUCCGAAACUUUAACAGAUGUCAGCAAGCCCUUCUUUCCCCCAAAUACGACCUUGAAAAACCAAGGCAGUGGGAGUCGACCAUUCAUACUAAAUGAAGACGUGUCAGAUCCAGCUGAAGCCGGCCUACUGCCAUUGGUUCUCUGCUCAGGAAUGAACAAGAACCGGACCAAAGUGAAAAGCUCUGGGAAGACGGUUUAGGAAUUCCACAGCUGGACAGACAAGGGGACGACGGGAUGUUCAGGGGCACCAUUUCAUAAUUAUCUCUUAUUGGAGAACCCUGGAAGAAGAGGUCGGCCAAGUUUUUUAUUUUUCCCCUCCCAGUUUAUAUCAGCAUGCAACUCCCAAAUACUUUGAUUUAUGAAUUUUUAUAACAACAGAUUAAAUGGCUCCUCACUCUAUCAUUUUUCUGUUUAUUUUGCAGAAAAAGAUGAAAGAGUGAAGAGCCAUUUAAUGUGUUGUCAUAGUCACUACCCCAAAUUUCCUUUCCCCAUAUGGAUUCAAACUCUCCAUGAAUGAAGCAGAGUAAUCCCUUUCAGUUCAAAAUUCUUCCCCAAAGUUAUUAAAAAUAACAUUGCAGAUCUUCUCCCUAAGUGUAUUUUGUCUUCGAUGAGACCAAAAAAUAAAAGCCAAUAGCUUGUUUUUCUGUUAUUACACAGAACAUGGCUUCUUUUAAAUCUCCCCACAUACCAGCCUCAUCCAAGCUGAAAGAAGAUGUCAAAAUGCAAAGUUUUUUUCCCCCAUGGCU